GAGGCAGCAGUGGGGAAUAUUGGACAAUGGGCGAAAGCCUGAUCCAGCCAUGCCGCGUGUGUGAAGAAGGUCUUCGGAUUGUAAAGCACUUUAAGUUGGGAGGAAGGGCAGUAAGUUAAUACCUUGCUGUUUUGACGUUACCGACAGAAUAAGCACCGGCUAACUCUGUGCCAGCAGCCGCGGUAAUACAGAGGGUGCAAGCGUUAAUCGGAAUUACUGGGCGUAAAGCGCGCGUAGGUGGUUUGUUAAGUUGGAUGUGAAAGCCCCGGGCUCAACCUGGGAACUGCAUCCAAAACUGGCAAGCUAGAGUACGGUAGAGGGUGGUGGAAUUUCCUGUGUAGCGGUGAAAUGCGUAGAUAUAGGAAGGAACACCAGUGGCGAAGGCGACCACCUGGACUGAUACUGACACUGAGGUGCGAAAGCGUGGGGAGCAAACAGGAUUAGAUACCCUGUAGUCCACGCCGUAAACGAUGUCAACUAGCCGUUGGAAUCCUUGAGAUUUUAGUGGCGCAGCUGACGCAUUAAGUUGACCGCCUGGGGA
rnacentral:rRNA from 1 species